UUGAUGCUCGGGGAUUGGGGUGGUUGGAGAAGGCCACCUUCAAUCCCAUAGUCCAAAACAAACUGGCAGCAGCAACAACAAAUGAAAAGUUACAACAAAUGAUAAGUAAAAAAGAAAAAAACCUCAAAAGUAUGUGAAAAGCACUAGUCUUUAUAAUAGUAAAAGAAGCUGUGAUCCGAACUUUAUGAACUACUGAGUCUCUGUGCUCGGCCUGCGCUUCGAUGUAGGUUGCAUCCAUAGACCAAGGUUUUCAUGGCUCACGAGCCUUCCAUGGGAUCUCUCGUCCCUCUGUUCUUGACUAGCAUCUCAAUUGUUCUCAAUUAUUUUUCCUUACUGGAGACCUCUCUUUAGGUUUUAUGUCACCAUCUUGGGAAAACAUAUGGUUCUGUUGCAGCACAGACAUGGUCCUUCCUACAAAUUUAUUAUUACCAUAGGAUACAGAGACCUUUUUUGUCUAUAUCAGGUUCGAUAUCUCUUCGUUCUCCUGAUGCAAAUCUCCCCUGAAGGAUUUAAAGAGAAAACAUCACACUGUAAUACAUACUUCACACAAACAGAAUUUUAACCUACAACACCUUGCCCAUCCCACAGUCAGUAUACAGCGGAGGGCCCUCCGGCUGUUACAUUCAUCUUUCAUAAAAAAGAGCU
rnacentral:lncRNA from 1 species